rnacentral:rRNA from 1 species
GAUUAACGCUGGCGGCGCACAUAAGACAUGCAAGUCGAACGGAAGUCGUUAUAACUCAGAACGAAGAUUUAUCUGAGGGACGAGAUAUAACAAUGGCUUUAGUGGCGGACUGGUGAGUAACACGUAAGAAACCUGCCUAUUAGAGGGGAAUAACAACGAGAAAUCGUUGCUAAUACCGCAUAAGCUAGUAGUACCGCAUGGUACAGCUAGAAAAGGAGAAAUCCGCUAAUAGAUGGUCUUGCGUCCGAUUAGCUAGUUGGUGGGGUAACGGCCUACCAAGGCAACGAUCGGUAGCCGAGCUGAGAGGCUCAGCGGCCACAUUGGGACUGAGAUACGGCCCAGACUCCUACGGGAGGCAGCAGUCGGGAAUAUUGCGCAAUGGAGGAAACUCUGACGCAGUGACGCCGCGUAUAGGAAGAAGGUUUUCGGAUUGUAAACUAUUUUAGACAGGGAAGAAAUUGACAGUACCUGUAGAAUAAGCUC